ensembl:lncRNA
AUUGAAUUGUCUCUGUCCACGUCAUUCAUUCUUAUUCUCACCACAUGGCAGCUCCUGACUUGUUACCUGCACCUACUCAGUACAAAGUCUUCAGUUGGCAGAACAGGUUUACCAGAUACUAGAGACAUUGCUAAGUGAGAUCAGACUCAGUAUUGUCUCAGGCCAGCUCUCACUGGAAGGAAGACAGUCUCCAAACACAGCAACAAUUUGAACUUAAAGUGAUGGGGGAAGCAGAUGAACUUUUGUAUCUGCUGCAGGAAGAGUUACUCUUCUGGGAGGGAGAGAUCCAAGCUAAAUAGGGUACUGAUAAUUAAUUUUUGUGAAUAAUAAUUUGAAGUGGUAAAAACAGCCACAGAUGUCUAACAUCUAAGAAGAAAUUUAGAUACGAUGCAGUCGAGGCCACUUAUAACAAUAACAUUUCCAGAAGUUGACAUCUUAAUAGAAGACGACGUCUUUAUGGGCUUUUUGCAGUACAAGCAGCUAAUAAAUGUUUUGUGAUUGGGUCAGCAUAGGCAGGGUCCUCCAUAGUGUUCCUAGGUCCCCAAGAGAAAGCAGUCACCAAGCACAGACGUCUCAGCAUAAGCUUUGCAAUUGCCUGGAGCUGCGUGCCUUCCAGCAAAGCGCAAGAUUUUGAGAGGAAAGGCAAAAAAAAAAAAAAAAAAACAGAGCUGUUCCUCGUAUGUAGCCGUUCACCUUCUUUCAUCAGCAUGGCAGGAUGUCUGAUGCUCAGAUCUGGAACAGUGCAGGAUGUUUGAAAGUUCUACCUUUUCCUUUCAACCAUUGAAGUGGUUUUGUAGCAAGUUCGUGCCAGCUGUCACAGAGAGAUUGGCAGUCUGUUCUUGCUGGCUCUGUUCUGGGUCCCAUUUUAAUGGGACCACACAAGAUUGUUAGUAACGUCACUUCCUUUCUUAGGGAAAAGAGAUCCUACUUUAUCUUUUAAAAACAGAGAUGGGAAAGAGGAUGCUGAGUUAAUGACUUGGUUCCAGGAUGUUGUUUGCUUUGGCCUGCCCUGGAUCUCAAGAGGUGUGAAUACCUACACCUGAGAGAUCAGACACAAUAAUAUUUUCAGCUGUUUUUUUUUCCUUUCAUUUUAAUCACUAGAUUAAAAUGCCCUGGUUUGAGCUUUCAAAACACUUCCACGCUGUUAUCCACCCAGCUAAAAUAAGUUAUGUGGUCUUCGUAGCAGUAGUUACGGUCUCCUGUAGAAGAUCGGUGUGUUUGUCAUCAUCUAUUUCAGAAGAACAGGAAUCCCUGUGUUCAUAUGCUGAAUGUGUUGGAUAUGAACCCCUGAGAAAUGUCAUCAUCAUGCCCUUCACUCAUGGCUGAGUUUGCUAGUAGGGUGACUGCUUCCCACUGUGCAACUGGAUUGGAAGCAAAGGCUGCCAAGAGGAAAUGUCCAAGUUAGUGGAAGUAUCACCCCAGUGCAGCCAAAGCAGUGCUGGCAUCCAGACCUUCAGUGCUCGUCUGUGCAGCCACCAAAAGCUCAGCUACUAUUUCCAGAUGUGAGGUAUCACAAUGACUGACUCACUUAAUGUCUGGAUCCUGCAAACUAGGCUCACUUCCUAGUGCAGGUACAGAAUUGACCUCAAGAGAAAUUUUGUUCUUCAGAUAUGCAAAGCAUCAGUGCAAGCUGUUCUGCAGAUCCAUUUAUCUAACAAAUUAUAAGUCCCUAUAGUCUCUUAUAUGUCUGUGUCCCACCUAAGUCAUUUUCCUAAGGCAUUUUCCAAGUCAUUUUCCUAAGCCUUUUCCA